rnacentral:rRNA from 1 species
UAGAGUAAUGCGUGACCAACCUGCCCAUGCUCCAGAAUAGCUCUUGGAAACGGGUGGUAAUGCUGGAUGCUCCAACUUGACGCAUGUCUUGUUGGGAAAGUGUUUAGUGGCAUGGGAUGGGGUCGCGUCCUAUCAGCUUGUAGGCGGGGUAAUGGCCCACCUAGGCUUCGACGGGUAGCCGGCCUGAGAGGGCGGACGGCCACAUUGGGACUGAGAUACGGCCCAGACUCCUACGGGAGGCAGCAGUG